GUGCUGCCUUCGGCAGUACAUAUACUAAAAUUGGAACGAUACAGAGAAGAUUAGCAUGGCCCCUGUGCAAGGAUGACACAAUAUAAUACUCACUAGAAAAUUAG
rnacentral:snRNA from 1 species